UCGCCCGAGGGCUACACACGUACUACAAUGGGUCGGUAACGAAAGGGCUGACCGAACCGCGAGGGGAGCCAAUCCCAAAAAGCCGACCUCAGUUCGGAUUGUAGUCUGCAACUCGACUACAUGAAGGUGGAAUCGCUAGUAAUCGCGGAUCAGCAUGCCGCGGUGAAUACGUUCCCGGGCCUU
rnacentral:rRNA from 1 species